UGCCAGGCCGGCCGCCAGCGCCCUAGGGAAACCCUAGGCGCGGGUGCUCCUGGGAGGGAGCCAUCACCACCGUAUCUUCGCUCUAUGGUUGCGCCCUUAGCAUUCGUGCCACUCCCGAUAGCUCCCUGGAGCCCUCCCUAAUGUGUGCUACGUGACCUCGCCAAACAUGGAUGGCGAGGAUGGUCGCCUCCUUUAAAUUUCAUGUGCUUCAAUUAGUUUCCCCUCUCCAAACCUCAAAUGGUGAAGUGGGACAUGUGCUUCAAUUUAUGUAUGCAACAACUGUGUAUAAUAUUAUACCAACUUAUCUAAUAUACCAGCUUUGAAUUUGUCUAUUGGAUGUCUAUUUCCGAAUUAAGUUUCUAUCUCCCGUUCGUUUCCGUCAAAUUCCAUUCGUAUUAGUUCAUUUUCGUCUGCAUGUCCUGAUCCUAUUUUCGAUUUUAACUUAUCCAAACGUGAUUCAUCCCUCCCCCUAUACCCGGGUAUGGUCGGUCCUUGUGCAACAACAUUAUCACAUACCUUUUAGGUUGCAGCUGUCAGAUGAAAAGUUGACCAUGUUGAUCAUCAUUUUAUCCAAAUUGUGUCCGGAGUUAUUGAAUUUCUCUGUCCUAAGACCGUCUGCAGCAGUCUACCCAUAGUUUACCCAAAAGCACUGUUUUGUACUAUAGAUUGCGCUGUUCGCAGAGUAGAGUUUGAAUAUGGGUAUGGGGAUGGGUAAGCUGCUGGAGAUAGUCUAAGAUGCCUGAAAAAGAAUAAUCAAUGCUUUAGGAGCUUCUUGGAUCCAGCCAGCUUACAUUAUGUAGUUCAAUCUAGAAAUGCAAUGCUACUAUGUAGUUCAAUCUAGAAAUGCAAUGCUAAUAUGCAGCCGGCAAUUUAAACAAACCAUGAAUACUAAAGAGAGUUUGGUAGUAUGCUUAAAAUUUCCUCAAAGAAAUGCACCUUUCUUAGAGCCUGUCAGUAGAAGAAACCCACGCCUGUAGAACUGCAAGCCAACAUACCUCUCAUGCACCUCUGUGGCAAGUGCGGUCUUGCCGGAGCCACGGAUUCCCAUGAUGGAGAUCAUCUUGGGCUGCUUUAUUUUCUUUAGGCCCACUGACUCAUCGAUCAAAUGUUGUACAAGCCUGUCCCUAGGAUCACCGAUAACGACAAUAUCUCACUGGAACUGUAAUAAUUUCUAACUGGUAACUCUCAUAGGUCAUACAAAUUCAAUGACAAAAAAUAUACAUAAAUUGCCUUGCACAGAGUUACCCAACAUAGUACACAUAAAUUUCUC
rnacentral:lncRNA from 1 species